AAAGAGUUGUUUUAUUACAGAUUAAAUAUUUUACUAAAUGACUAUAAUAUCCAUAUUGUCAUCCAUGAUUAAAAGUAAACAUGUUGCUUUUAGGUUUACUUUGGGCAUGGCUUAAUAAGAAGUCAUAGAAACAAAAGGACUCCCACGUGUCUGGAUACCACACAUGCAUGUACACGCACAUAGCUGCACACAAUGGAAACCAGGUGGAGAAAAUCAGCUGACGGGGAGGAUGACUUGAUGAUUGACAUUGUCUCUAUUUUUUGUCAGUUUUUCUUUUUGAAAGUUCACUCCUGGCGAGAAAUUUUACCUCUGGAUGAAUCACAUCUUGAAUCUCAUGCAUUUAGAUAAUAUUUAGGUGAUAUAGUUUGGAUGUCCCCUCCAAAUCUCAUGUUGAGAUGUAAUCCCCGUGUUGAAGGUGGGGCCUGACCGGAGACGUUUACCUCACGGUAGUGGAUUCCUCAAAGAACUUGGUGCUGUCUUCAUAAUGGAAGAGUGUCUUAGCCUCUGGACUACUGCCCAAUGAAGACAGCUAUGAAAUGCAUGGAUAACUUGUUAAUCAAUAUUUGUCGUGUGUACUGGCAGCAUCAGCAUCAGCUGGGAGCUUGUGGUGGUCUCCAGGUCAGACCUCAUGAAUCAGGAUAUCAGAGAGUGAGACCCAGGAAAGUGUGCUUUACUAAGUUCUUCAGGUGAUUCUUGAGUACAUUAAAGGUUGAGAAGCACUGUCUUAGGGUGUGGAGGAAUGAAGCUAGACUGGCUGAGCUCUGUCAUUGACUAACCAUAUAAUCAUCAGAAAGUUACUUACCUUCUCUGGACCUCUGUUUCUUCUGCUAUGUAAAAGAUUUGUUGUGAAGAUAAAACUUUUAGCACUUUGAAAGUGCAUAGAACUUAAUAAAACUCAGUAAACACCAUUACUAUUAUUGCAAUCAUGGUUGUUGCUAUUUUUUGAUCUUACCAUCUUCAGCAUGUUGCUGGCUGGUGGAACUACUCUUCUCCUGAGGGCGUUGUGUAUAUUAACGAUCUCUUCUUGUACAUUUGGCAAGUCGGUGACGAGCUUAUUAAAUUGGUCUCUAGCUGAUUUCUUCUGUUACCAGAAAAAUAUUAAUUAGUGUUACUUCUUUUAAGUGGAAUUUGUCACAUAUAUUUUGCAGACCUAUAGGUAAUGCAAAUUUAUAGUUUAUAUUAAACAGUGAUUUAUAGCAUUUUUGAAUUUAUAAUGUCUCAUUAUAUUGGAUUCCAUUUCUCCAGUACUAAUUUUGAGGAUUUCUCAACGUCAGGCUGACAUCACAUUAGUCUUCAGAAUAAUGCACUUGUUAUCCUGUUAUUAGGGUUUUUCCAGGUUCAUACUUUGGACCAUGUUGAAGCACUUUUUAUUGGGCAAUAAGAUCCACAAAGGGAGAUAUCUUAAAAUCACACCUGUUACUUACUUCUCUGGCUUAUUCUCCACAUCUCCCACCCUGCAACAACUGUACUCUCUGCUUCCCAAAUAAACUACUU
rnacentral:lncRNA from 1 species